rnacentral:rRNA from 1 species
AAUUGACGGGGCCCCGCACAAGCAGCGGAGCGUGUGGUUUAAUUCGAUGUUACACGAAGAACCUUACCAGGGUUUGACAUGCAAGUGGUAGGAAGCCGAAAGGUGACCGACCCUUCGGGGAGCUUGCACAGGUGCUGCAUGGCUGUCGUCAGCUCGUGUCGUGAGAUGUUCGGUUAAGUCCGCUAACGAGCGCAACCCUCGCUGUGUGUUAUAUGUGUCACACGGGACUGCCGGUCUUAAGCCGGAGGAAGGUGGGGAUGAUGUCAAGUCAGCAUGGCCUUUAUAUCCUGGGCUACACACACGCUACAAUGGCCAACACAAUAGGUUGCUAAGCCGCGAGGUGGCGCCAAUCCAUAAAGUUGGUCUCAGCUCAGAUUGUAGGCUGCAACCCGCCUGCAUGAAGAUGGAGUUGCUAGUAACCGCAGGUCAGCUAUACUGCGGUGAAUACGUUCCCGGGGCUU